CAGUCGAACGGGCUUAACAUGAAACCUAGUGAUUGUUAAGUUAGUGGCGGACGGGUUAGUAACGCGUGGAUAACCUGCCGUAUGCAGGGGGAUAACAGUUGGAAACAGCUGCUAAUACCGCAUAAGCGCACAGUACCGCAUGGUACGGUGUGAAAAGAUUUAUCGGCAUACGAUGGAUCCGCGUCCGAUUAGCCAGUUGGCGGGGUAACGGCCCACCAAAGCGACGAUCGGUAGCCGGCCUGAGAGGGCGGACGGCCACAUUGGGACUGAGACACGGCCCAAACUCCUACGGGAGGCAGCAGUGGGGAAUAUUGCACAAUGGGGGAAACCCUGAUGCAGCGACGCCGCGUGAGUGAAGAAGUAUCUCGGUAUGUAAAGCUCUAUCAGCAGGGAAGAAAAUGACGGUACCUGACUAAGAAGCCCCGGCUAACUACGUGCCAGCAGCCGCGGUAAUACGUAGGGGGCAAGCGUUAUCCGGAUUUACUGGGUGUAAAGGGAGCGUAGACGGCGCUGCAAGUCCGGAGUGAAAGCCCAUGGCUUAACCAUGGUACUGCUCUGGAAACUGUGGAGCUUGAGUGCGGGAGGGGCAGGCGGAAUUCCUAGUGUAGCGGUGAAAUGCGUAGAUAUUAGGAGGAACACCGGCGGCGAAGGCGGCCUGCUGGACCGUAACUGACGUUGAGGCUCGAAAGCGUGGGGAGCAAACAGGAUUAGAUACCCUGGUAGUCCACGCCGUAAACGAUGAUUACCAGGUGUCGCGGUACGAAG
rnacentral:rRNA from 1 species